GACUUCCUGAUCUCACAGACUGUGUUCUUAUACUGACUAUAUAAAAAGAGGAAGCAGAGUAAACCUAUGCCAUAUACACCUCUACACCUCAGGCUAGGCCUUUGUCUGGUCUGUAUUGUGAAUAGGGAGACAUGG
ensembl:snoRNA